rnacentral:rRNA from 1 species
CCUACGGGAGGCAGCAGUGGGGGAUAUUGCACAAUGGGGGGAACCCUGAUGCAGCGACGCCGCGUGGGUGAAGAAGCGCCUCGGCGCGUAAAGCCCUGUCAGCAGGGAAGAAAAUGACGGUACCUGAAGAAGAAGCCCGGCACACUACGUGCCAGCAGCCGCGGUACUACGUAGGGGGCAAGCGUUAUCCGGAUUUCCUGGGGGUAAAGGGGGGGCAGACGGGGUUGCAAGCCAGGAGUGAAGGCCCGGGGACCAACCCCGGGACUGCUCUUGGAAAUGGGUGGCUGGAGUGCAGGAGGGGCAGGCGGAAUUCCUGGUGUAGCGGUGAAAUGCGUAGAUAUCAGGAGGAACACCGGUGGCGAAGGCGGCCUGCUGGACUGCAACUGACGUUGAGGCCCGAAAGCGUGGGGAGCAAACAGGAUUAGAUACCCGUGUAGUC